AGGACAUUUGUUUUGUUUUAUAGAUAUUUUGAAAGUUUGUGUCUUGACUCUGAGAAAAAAUGUGUGUUUUUCAGAACUUCUAUUUGCUGAAACAUCCAAGAACUCUGCUGACUUCUCAGACCUGACAGAGUUUGGUGCAUCCUCAAAUCAGACAGAUGGUGUUACUCUCACAACUUGUGAAUGGGACAGUGGCAUGGCUUCUCAACUUGUCCUGCUGGAUCUUCUUACUCCAAAAUCAGCUGGAAGAAAGCGGCCCAAGAAGAUCAGUGUUGGAGAGGCAACAUAUUGUAAUAG
ensembl:lncRNA